rnacentral:rRNA from 1 species
GGACGAAGAAGGGUAGGUCGAGCCAAUCGUUUGGUCUGAUUGGUUCAAGCGCGUAGGCGGAGCUCGUAGGAGGCAAUAGCCACAAACGCGAGCUCAACGCCGAGACGUGAUGAGGAGAGUCUUCGGACUCGAAACUCGAUGAUCCCAUGCUUCCGAGAAAAGCUGCGCGGGGAGUCCCGUGAGUGUCCGUACCGCAAACCGACUCAG